rnacentral:rRNA from 1 species
GUCUGACCGAGCAACGCCGCGUGAGUGAAGAAGGUUUUCGGAUCGUAAAACUCUGUUGGUAGAGAAGAACGUUGGUGAGAGUGGAAAGCUCAUCAAGUGACGGUAACUACCCAGAAAGGGACGGCUAACUACGUGCCAGCGAGCCGCGGUAAUA